GUGCUUACUUUGGCAGCACAUAUACUAAAAUUGGAAUUAUACAGAGAAGAUUAUUAUGGCCCCUGAACAAAGAUGACAUGCAAAUUUGUGAUGUGUUCCAUAUUUUU
rnacentral:snRNA from 1 species